rnacentral:rRNA from 1 species
CGUGAGCGGCGGACGGGUGAGUAACGCGUGGGUAACCGUGCUCGUACAGGGGAGUAACAGUUGGAAACGACUGCUAAUACCGCAUAAGCGCACAGUACCGCAUGGUACCGUGUGAAAAACUCCGGUGGUAUGAGAUGGACCCGCGUCUGAUUAGCUAGUUGGUGGGGUAACGGCCUACCAAGGCGACGAUCAGUAGCCGACCUGAGAGGGUGACCGGCCACAUUGGGACUGAGACACGGCCCAA